AGAGAGAGGCUGAACAUAAGCAUGCAGAGCUGAUAUGACACUGACCAGUGUUUAACCUAGUCAGGUUUAAAACAGAGUUAUUCUGUUCUUCCUGGGGGGAAAAAGCUUAAUCAUUUAGAAUAGUUUUAUUUAGCUUUGAAUGAGCAGAAGUGGAUGAAAUGCCGGCUGGGAAAAGCUCGUCUCUCUGCCAGAUUUUACUGUCUGUCUGCCUCCUGUUUUCCUCUACAGAUGGGAAAAUCAUCAAAGCUGAGUCUGGACAGAAUGUGUCUCUGCCAUGUCAAACUCCAAACAUCAGCAUGCCCAUCAGAGCUGUGGAGUGGUUCAGACUUGACCUGCAGGAAGGACAUGUUCUCAUGUACCGGGUUUCCCACACCAUGGAUCACGUGGACAGUCACACCAGUGAAGCUUAAAACCUUUAAUGAACCGAACAUCAACUCGAAAUAAGCACAAAUAUGCAAUGUGUACGAAAUACUCCUGGCCGUACCUGUAAUAAAAGUUAACAUAAUAAAAGGAUCCUUAAAUUAACAUCUUCAAUAAACGACUUUAAUGCAAUAUCAAUACUGUGAGAAAUAUUAUUAAAUGGAAUAAUGCUGUAAAGAAUGUUAUUAAUCCAAUUGUAAUGCUGUAGGUUAUAUGGCAGCAAUAAAAGAAUUUCUGUAUCUCCACACACUCUUGCAGAAAAGGUAUGAAAAACAUUCUGUGCUUAGGAAACAGCAGAAACGAACAGGGUCUGUGUGUGUUAACUAUAAAGUUUGGAAAUAAAGGUAGAGUAACAAACA
ensembl:lncRNA